rnacentral:lncRNA from 1 species
GAGUAAGCUUCUAUCAUAAGGGUUUGUUUGGUUCAUCCAUUUUGGAUAUGGAAUGGGAAUCGGUUUGAUCAAAUCCGGUUAAUUUUGUUUGGUUCGCAUGAAUCCGUUUGGAAUUCCUAUUCCGGACUGGAAUGGGAAUGACCCAUUAGCCUUCAACUUGAUUCCGGUCUUCUAGCUUGGAUUGAGAUUUCAUUUCGGAAGCCCACUAAGUUCUCGAAGCCUAUAUGACCAUCUCACCCUCCUUCUCUUCAGUCUUCACCCCUUUCUCAUAAAAAAAAAAAAAAAAAAAAAAUCUAUCCUCUCUCAAAAUCCUAUCCCUAACCCACGUCAAUAAAAGUUUUUAAAAAUAAAUUUGAUAUUUUUUUUAGAAAACUUAUUAGAGAAUAGUAUUAUAUUUUUCAUAAAUUUUAAAUAAUAUAAAUUUAUAUUUGAGAGUAAAAUUAGUAUUAUAGUAUCCUAUAUAUUUUUUAGUUUAUACGAACCAAACAAUGAAAUGUGAAUAACUCAUUUCAAUUUCCAAUCCAUAAAUAAACCAAACGUCUUGGGGGAGUGGGCUAUUUCAAUUACCAUUUCAAUUCAUUCCCAUUUCAUUAUUCAUUCUAAUUCCACCCUUGAACCAAACAAGCCCUAAUUGUAAUCCAGUAGGUCUAGGAUUUUAAGAUGUUUUUUUUUUUUUUUUCUUUUGGAUUUUAUGGACUUUUUUCUAAAAGGGAUAAUUGUUUAUGUACCCCUCGUACGUUUGAAAAUAUCCGAUUUAUCUUUUUUUUUUCUUUCUAAAAUACCUCUCAUAUGUUUCACUGUUAUUGCAAAAUACCUCCGCAGUUAUCUUCUGUUAAGUUAAACGUGAGUUAAAUGUCUACCAUAGUUAAAAAAAAUUAAAAUACCAAUUUUGCUCUUAACUUAAAAGAAAAUAAGAAAUGUUGGUGACAGUAGAGAGGUAUAUUUGAAAAAAUCAAAAGUCAAAAUACUUUUUGUGCCCCCUAACUUUAAGAAUAAAUAAGAAAGUUGGUAAUGAUGGAAAGUUAUAUUUGAAAGGAUAAAAUAGUAAUUUUACAGAGAUAACAGAGUUAAUUAACAGAUUUUAACUCUAAAGGUAUAUUAGAAAUAAGUUAGAACGUAAAAAGGAUAUUUUCAAUAUUAACCUUCUAAGAAAGAUAAAUUGAAAAGUCGAAAAUUUUUUAAAAGUAUAUAAGCAAUUGUCUCUUUCUGAAAUGUAAUUUUUUAGAUUUUAUGAACUUUUAAUAGACCCUACUAACCGGUUCUCCUCACUCCUACUCCCUUCGAGCUAAAAAGAAUAAAAUUUAAAAUAUGAAUCGGUUCCAAACCCUCUUUUGUGAACUUCUUUUUUGUUUUUUUUUUUUGGGUCAAUUAAUACCUUCUUUCGAGUACGGAGAUGGAACCCCGUACUCGCAGGGGCUCCCCGAUUCAAACCAAACUAAUCAGAACCGUCCAUUUCCGCCAUCACCAUCCAUCGUAACAUCGACACGUUCCCACGCUUCAAGAACGGAGCCCCCCUCUCUCUUUUCCCGCCCGGGAAGAGAAGAAGAAGAGAGAGAAAGCUCGAGAGCAGCGACAAUGGUGUCGUCUUCUUCCUCGGACCCGACCUCGUGGUGGUGGAUCCUCGACUUCGUCCUCCACCAACCCUCCGUCCCCGACGCCGUCGCCAACGCCCUCCUCCUCACCAUCCCCCUCCCCGAACCCCUCCCCGCCUCCUCCGUCCCCCCCCGCAUCCAACGCCAACUCCUCCUCCGCCGCCUCUCCUCCUCUCUCCCCCUCUCCUUCACCACCCUCCGCUCCCUCGACCUCCUCCACUCCCUCUUCCCCUCCCCCUCCCUCGCCGCCGCCUACGCCGCCGUCGCCGUCCACAUCGCCGCCGCCGCCGCCGCCGCCGACUUCGCCGGCACCGUCGCCGACCUCUUUGGCGCCCGCGUCGCCGCCCUCGAGCGCUGCCCCGCCGCCGCGGGGCUCCUCUCCGACCGCCUCAGGGCCGCGGGGAAGGAGAUGGCCGCGGCCGUCGCGGAUCCCGAGCUCCGCGCGCGGAUCAUGGAGCGGAGGGACGAGAUCCGCGAGCAGGCGUUGGAGGCGAUUAGGGUUUUGGUCGCGGAGCAGCGGGAGGCGAUGGGCCCCCCGUUCCUCGAGGUCGCGGCGCAAGUCGUUAUGGGAGAGAACAGGGCCCUAAUGCGAGAGACAUCGCCGUUGCGCAAUAGAAUCGGUGAGAGCUCUGUAGCAUUGUUGUAAUUUGCGAGCAAAAUUUGUUUUCAUAAAUAUGUGAGUUGAAUAAUACAAUGGCGCUUCUAAAAUCUAAAUCGAGGAUUAGUUCCUAAGCUUGUUGAAUUUUUCUAUCUUAUGCUAAAUUUUACAAUGUAAACCCUAGAUUCGUUUAGUCCCUGAGGUUUUGAUGCAUCUUCUUCGAAAUGAUUGAAAUAAGUUGCAAUUUCAGGAGCUAUUCAUUCGUUCCAUUUGUAUUCUUUUGAAGCUUUGAGAUACUUAGCCCUUUCUUUUAUUAUAGUGUCAAAUUUAGCACGCAAAGAGUAUUACUUUUGAGUUCUAGUAUCAGAAUUUUGUGCCGACUAGAGGCGUCUUUGAGAUAUCUUUAUGAGUUUAAUGUGAGCUUGUAACUUUCGCCAUGGAUUUAGCAAACGAGAGCAGGGAAAUUAAGUUCGACUCCACACUGACACCGGAGGUAGAUAAGGUCACGAAUGCGUUGAAAUCAAGUUGUGCGGAUCUCCAGAAGGUGGUGGAGGAUCCUCUUCCUGAUGCGGUAGUGGCUGCAGACGAAGUACUAAAUAGAAGAUCAGGAGAAAUGGAAAAUAUAGAAGGGGACGGAGUAACUAAUAGACUUGUAGGGGAGAGUUCAAUUCCUACUGUUGGAAAGAGUGUUGAAACUAGUCACAGUGAGGAUUCUGUUGCUUCUGAAGAAGUUGCUUCAGCUUUGAUGGGUUUAAAGCAGGGUGAAGAUAGGAGAAAUGCGGAUGGCAUAGUGCAUGAUGCGGGAAAAGGCGUGGAAGAUCCUCGUUCGGAGGGUCCUAGUACUCAUACAAAUGUCGCAGCGCGCCCUAGUCUUAUGGCUUGGAAUCCGACUGCUCGUACUUAUGAGGUGACCGCUGUAAUCUACGAUAAUUGUUCUCCAUGCUUGAAACUAAUAUAAUCAGACAUUUUUACCUACCUACACCGGCAAAAUCAUCUACUACAUAUUUACCCUUGUAAAAAUCUGAACUUCUAUAUAUGCCAUUCAAAAACCUAAUCGAGUAAUUUCGUGAAAAAAAAAAAACUUUUUUUGGGAAGUUUAUUCUAAUGCUAAUCCAACAUUUCCGAUGCGAAUGGGAUGACUUAAUCCCCAAAUUGUUUAGGUAAGCAAACUUUUCCAAGAAACUUCACUUUCGAGGAGAGUAUAUCAAAUUCAGAUUUCACCAGGGUAUAUAUGUAAAUAGAUGAUUUUGCAGGGUCAUAUAUGUAAAAGCUCCACACGAACAGCUCAUUUAACAUUUAAGACUAUAUAUCUAGAGUGCAAUUUUUUUUAUGCAUUACUAAAUUUAUUGAAGUUAAUAAACUUAUGAUGUAAAUUAUUUCAAACUUCUUAGUUUAUGAGCAUAACUAUAUCCUGUUUCCUAAGCUUAUUUUAGUNUGUAUUAACUUGAUCUCUGUUUAUAUAAAGAGGUCUUUUGUAAUUUAUCAAAUCAGAAAGAAAUAUAUUUUCUUCUCCAAUUAUUCUUUGUUUCAACAACAACUAUUUAUAAUAUUUUUAAGUUUAUUUCCUAAAUAUUACCUAUUCAUUUUUUCCCUCUGUUCUUUUUGUUUGCAUCCUUGGUUUGUGUAUAGUGGAAUGACUCUAUUGAUUCUCUAUCGGAGAAGUCGCUAUCACCAUCAAAUAAGCCUCACUUAUCGACCCCAAAGAGCAGGAUGGUUUCUCCUCUGAAGUUAGUAGAGAGCAAAAAGGUUUCUAAGCGAAGAAAAUUUAAGAGAUGGAGCUUGUUGGAAGAAGAAACAUUAAGAAAAGCUGUGCAAGAGUAUGGACAUUUUGCCUUUCGUUCAAUAUUGUAUUGGAAAUCAGGAAACUUAGUACUUGAGUUUUUAUCUUUGUUGGUUACAAUUUUCAAAUAAAUUGAGAUAACAAUAUUUCUAGUAAAUGAUACUCUUUUUUCUUUCCUUAAUGAUGCGAGUUCUUAUUUGAGUUGUCUUACCUGUUUUCACGUGAAGGCAUGGCAAAGGUAGUUGGAAGGCUAUUCUAAACAGCUAUGCCGAUAUUUUUGAAGAGAGAACGGAGGUAUGAAUAUGGUGGUUUUGGUCGUGUUCUCCCUUCUCUUUUUUUCUCAAUGAACACUGUAGAAUGAUAGUAUGAUACUCCAAUUUACAGGUUGAUUUAAAGGAUAAAUGGAGAAAUAUGACCAGACACUAGUUGGCAUCUUUGUCGGGCUUUGUUUUGUUCUCUUUGGCACCGUCAGAUGAGUUUUGGUAAUACAGUACAUUCCUGAGGUGCUUCUCUCUUUCGAACUAACCAUAUAAUAGAUAGUCCUUAACCAUGAACUUGCACUUUUGUCUUGUAUAUAGUGAUGGAUUCUGUAAGCUUUCACAUCUUUUGUCUAAUAUAUAAUUAAUGGAUUCCGUAAGUUACUGUGAAAGCUUUAAUAUAUAUUAGUUAAAUGGAUUUCUGGUUAAGUGGGAAGUUUUGAGCCUUAUGUGAUUUACAUGAAAUUCUGCAUGUUGCUGUUCUUCUGGUAUUAUCAUUCAAUCUAGAUGGUGGUAAGCUUAUCAUGGAUAUAUGAUGUUCUUUGCUAUGUAAUUUCAUGAGAAGGAAAAGUUUUUGAGAAACUAUUGUUUGGAAAAUAGUGGAAGUGCUUUCUCAGUUGCUGGUAUCUCUUUUAGUUAUUGAAUUAAUUUCAGAAAAGUUAUUCUUUCUUUCUCUUUUAUGCUCAUUUUUAGUGAGCAUUAUCUUUGUGUCUGGCUUGAUGGUGUAAUUGACUGGAUGAUCAUUUUACAAUGUGUUCAAUAAACCCAGAAGCAUAACAGAGUCCGAAAUCUUACGUCUAGUUAUUUCACGAAGGGGCUACCGAGGAAAUAAGGCCUUCACAAACAUUAAUUCUUUUACUUGUAUCAUCUUUAGGUCCCCACCGGAUCGACAUAUUGUUUAGCAUAGAAAACGUGGUCCUGAUUCAAAAUAUGCUUGUGAAAAUCACUAGUAGAUAAUGGCGUUGUGUUGUGUCAGAGUGUAUUUUGGAAACAUUGAAUGCUUAAAACAAGUUAGAGCAUAGGUAUCUACAUACUAGAUAAUAAUUUGAGCUUCAACAAGUCUAUGGAAUAUCGCAUUUUGCGACUUAAAUCAUUGGAGUGUGAAACUAAGAAGGUUCCUCUCCUUCAUCCUGCUCAUCUUCAAGGGGUAAAUUAAGAAAAACGCUUCUCUUCUUGUCUUUAAACUUUUCCUUUUCAUUCUUUAGUCAAUUUAUUUGCUAUAUGUGUUUUAUAAUGCAGAAGAUUCUGUUAAUACUUAAUAUAUCUCUUCUUUUUCUUCGCUUCAAUCUUUUUGCUAAUUUUGCUUAGUGCAAGAUCAUUAAGAAGUUAAGUUAAAUGUGCUAUAGAGUUAGUGUAUUGGCUUGUACUUGCUAGAUGACCUUGAUGCAUGGAUUUGAAGUUACAAGAAAGCUUCCACUGAGACAUGUAUUUUCCUCUGAAAAAUAUCCUUUCAAAGGCGCAUUUAUUUAUUUUACUAGUUUGAAAGCAGGAGAACACUAUAUCACCUCCAUGUAUUGCUUUCUUAAUCUGUCUCUCCUUUUUUGAGUUUUUACUUCAAUCUUUUUGCUAAUUUUGCUUGGUGUAAGAUCGUUUUAGUGUAUUGGAUUGUACUUGUGAGAUGAUGAUCUUGAUGCAUUGAUCUGAAGUCCCUAGAAAGUCUCCACUGAAAAUAAUUUGAAUGACAGGUUUUUUGUGCUCUGAAAAUUUUUCCAUUCAAUAGACAUUUGUUUAUUACACUGUUUUGAAAAGCAAAUGUUUCGAGAUUAAAGACUUUAGGACUAACCAAUGACAUGCUCAUUUCCUACUACUUUUGUCUUAUGCAGACUUUGGCCUGUUUGAAAGGCAUGCCAUAUUCUUUUGUUUUUUUGUUAUUUUGGGAGGUGGAAUAUAUUGUCCUUUGAACUCAUGGCUGCCAGGACUUUUCUAGGAGCUAAACCUAAAGCUUCUAGCUUGUAAUUGCAGAAGGAAAUUUUUAUUGAGCUUGAGUUAUUACUAAAUAGCUUCUUCCAACAUCCAAAAUAAACAUUUUGGCCCUAUUUGGAUUUCAGAAUAAAUUAUUUAAUGAUAAUUUAUCUAUUAUAUGAAUUUUCUUGUGUGGUUGCAAGUUAGGAUGUUGAUUUUAACUCUUUAAAAUGUUUUACCAUCUAGUACUUAGUAAAAUAGACUGUAUUUCACUUAUAAGACAGUUAUCUUAUAUUUAGGGUGCAUUUGGUUCGACAUAAUCAAAUAUUUAAAAUUUUUUAAUCAGAUUACUACUAAUGCUGUAUUAUCACGUUUGGUUUAAUGCAGGAAUAUAAUGCUGGAUUUGGUUUAAUGUAGAAAUAUAAUGCUCGAUUACAGUGUAUAUAAUAGAAUUAUUAUGUUUGAUUUAUUUUAUAAAAUUCAGUCAUGGUGAUAAUAAAGUGUAAUUUAUUUCAAAAUUACUCUUACCAUAUUUAGCAAAUUUUUUAUUGUUGACAAGUAGUUUUUUUUUAACUAAAUUUUAUUUUAAAAUAAUUUAAAUUUUGAAUUUAAAUUUUAAAUUUAAAAUAUGAACAAAAAUAUGAAAUUUAAUAUUUUAAUUUAAAAUAUAAAUUUGAAAAAAAGUUUAGGAUUUAAAAUUUAAAAUCUAAAUAUAAAAUUUAGAAUUUAAAAUAUAGAUUUAAAAAUUAAAAAUUAAAAAUUAAAAAUUGAAAUUUAAAAAUAGUUAAGAUGGAGAAAAGUUAAUGAUUUGAAAGUUGAAACUGCUGCUUCUAGAGGAAGAAAUCGUGACCGAGAGCCCUAUUUUUCAACCAUUUAUUUAUAGUGAGACCCAUUCAACGUGUAAAUUUAUAGAAUUAAAUAAGUUUAGUAUAGUAAAAAAAAUAAAAUUUUUCUAACUUUAUUAGUAAUUUAAUCAAAUUUAAUAAUUUUAAUUAUUUUUAGAAAAUAAAAUUAUAUUAAUCAAUAGAGUCAUUAAAUUUGAUAAACUUUUUAACUUACCUAAACAUAAAAAGUACAACGGAUUUUAGUAAGGGGAAAAAAGAAAAGAAAAAAGAAAAACCUAUUUCAAACUGGCCUAUAGUUUGGGUGGAUUAUCCAUACAUAUUUUUACCCAUAUACUAAUAUGGUUGGGCAAUUAGGCCUAUUAAUUUUAUAUAAUCCUUUAUGCAAAUAAAUUUUUAUUUUGAGAGAAAGGUAACACGCAAUUUACUUUAUUCAUUAGGUAAAUGAAUUUAGUUAUACAGAGUGAUACACAGCUAAGAUCUUAAAAAAGAUGAAAGAUCAAAAGAAAAAAAAAUUAAAAAAAAAAUCAGAGUAGAAGCAGAAACAAACGUCAAAACAAAGAGUGUAUCUAACGUCGACGUCACCCAGCUCUACAAAAAUUGGCCCACUGCUUAACCCGCACUCAAUAUGAUGAGCGGUUAAGAUAGUGUUAGUUGGUAGGUUCUAAAUAAAUGUCAAAUAAAAAUCUCUAAUGAAAAAUUACAAACAAAGUUACCAUUUUUUAUGAGUACAUUUCCCAACUUAGGAGUUAGGAUUGGUGAUACACACGCUUUUUCUCUACAUAAUAUUAUCUCUUAAUAAGCGUUUUUUUUUUUUUUUCCUCUCUUGUAUCGCACUAUCAUCAAUAAUGGAGGAUUGGCUUUUGCAUCUUGUAGCACUAGCCGCUUCCAUACUUGUAACCCUCCUUCUCUCCUCGCUCCUGAAACCGUCGAGGCCGCGCAAAACCGCCUCCCUCCCCUUCCCGCCGGGGCCGCGGUCUCUCCCCGUCGUCGGCCCGCUCUUCGCGCUCCUCCGCCGCGGCCGAUCGAAUUUCGACGUCGACCAGCUCCUCCGCCGCCUCCGCCGCCUGCACAGCCGGCACGGCCCGAUCCUCUCCGUCCGCCGUCUGUCCUCCUCCCGCCCGGCCGUCUUCAUCGCCGACCGCGUCCUCGCCCACCGCGCCCUCGUCGCGCGCGGCGCGGAGUUCGCCGACCGCCCCCCGGCCUCCGGGUCCAGCGCAGUCCUCUCCAGCAACCAGCGCAGCAUCAGCUCCGCCCCCUACGGCCCCCUCUGGCGCGCCCUCCGCCGCAACCUCGCCGCCGAGCUCCUGCACCCCUCGCGCCUCCGCGCCCACUCCCCCGCGCGCCGGUGGGCCCUCGACCUGCUCGUAAGAGAUCUCGGAACCGAAUCUAGCGGCGGUGCAGCAGCAGCCGUCGUCGUCAUGGAGAGCUUCCAGUUCGCCAUGUUCUGCCUGCUCGUCCUCAUGUGCUUCGGCGAGCGGCUGCCCGACGAGCAGAUACGCCGGAUCGAGUCCCUGCAGCGGGAGCUCCUCUCCAACUUCAUCAGCUUCAGUGUCCUCGCCGUGUAUCCUAAAAUCACCAGGCUGCUCUUCCGGGGCCGGUGGAAGAAGCUCAUGGAAAUUCGGCGGAAGCAGGAGGAGACGUUCGUGCCGCUGAUCGAUGCGCGGAGGAAUGAUCUGCUGCUGCUGCGGCGGCGGCGGUCGGAGGAGGACGGGUUCGUUUAUUCGUACGUCGACUCGCUGGUCGAUCUCGAAAUUCCGGUGGACGGCGGAAGGAAGCUGACGGACGGCGAGAUCGUCAGCCUUUGCUCCGAGUUUCUGAGCGCCGGCACCGACACGACCGCCACCUCGCUGCAGUGGAUCAUGGCCAACCUCGUAAAGCAGCCCGAUGUGCAGACGAAACUGUAUGAAGAAAUCGAACGUGUGGUCGAGAAGGACGCUGCGGUGCGAGAGGAGGACCUGCAGCGGAUGCCGUAUCUGAAGGCGGUGGUGCUGGAGGGGCUGCGGCGGCACCCGCCGGGGCACUUUGUGCUGCCGCACGCGGUGACGGAGGAGGCGGAAUUCGAGGGGUAUCGGAUUCCGAAGGGCGCGGCGGUGAAUUUCGCGGUGGCGGAGAUAGGGUGGGACGGGGCGGUGUGGACGGAGCCGAUGGAGUUUCGCCCUGAGAGGUUUCUGGAAGGUGGGGAAGGGGACGGGGUGGACAUAACGGGGGGUCGGGAGAUCAGGAUGAUGCCGUUCGGGGCGGGGCGGAGGAUUUGCCCCGGGAUGGGGCUCGCGCUGCUCCACCUCGAAUACUUUGUUGCGAAUUUGGUGAAAGAGUUCGAGUGGAAGCCGGCGGCGGAGGGGGAGGAGGUCGACAUGACGGAGAAGUUCGAGUUCACCGUGGUUAUGAAGACGCCGCUCCGGGUGAUAAUCUUGCCCAGAAAGAGAACUUGAGCAUGCAGAGCAACAAAAAAAGUCCUUCAUCAACACACUAUAAAAUUCAGAAUAUUAUAGUGUGUAAGUAUUUUAGUUAUAAAUGUCUUUUUGUUUUUGCUUUUAGUUUUAGCUAUAAUUAUUGAGGACAGAGCAUAUCUAGCAAUUAUUGCAGCAGUAAUUAGAAAUAAGAUUUAGCUUAUGUUGUUGUAUUCAUAUGAGGUUGCUUGAUGUUUUGAAUAAGAGAUUCUGUUCUAUGAGAUUGAUGAAUAUAUUAAACUUUUUUGAUGCAAAUGAUGUGAGUUUGUAAGACUCAAACUAUUAAAUAUCUUAAACAUGACUUGUAAUUACAACAUAAUCAUGUUUGUAUUAAGC